rnacentral:misc_RNA from 1 species
GUUGAAGAACGUAGCGAAAUGCGAUAAGUAAUGCGAAUUGCAGAAUUUCCGUGAGUCAUCGAAUCUUUGAACGCACAUUGCGCCCACUGGUAUUCCGGUGGGCAUGCCUGUUCGAGCGUCAUUAUCCUCCCUCAAACCCCGGGUUUGGUGUUGGACCCAAGUUGUGUGAACAACUGGUCUCAAAGACAAUGACGGCGUCCGUGGGACCCUCGGUGCAACGAGCUUUUAGGAGCACGCAUCGAGUUGCAAGGACCUUCCGGGCCGGUCUCCUUUACCAUUUUACAAGGUUGACCUCGGAUCAGGUAGGAAUACCCGCUGAACUUAAGCAUAUCAAUAAGCGGAGGA